AUUGAACGCUGGCGGCAGGCCUAACACAUGCAAGUCGAACGAGUGGCGGACGGGUGAGUAAUGUCUGGGAAACUGCCUGAUGGAGGGGGAUAACUACUGGAAACGGUAGCUAAUACCGCAUACCAUCAGAUGUGCCCAGAUGGGAUUAGCUAGUUGGUGGGGUAACGGCUCACCAAGGCGACGAUCCCUAGCUGGUCUGAGAGGAUGACCAGCCAACGUGGAACGGGGACACGGUCAAGAUUCCUACGGGAGGCAGCAGUGGGGAAUAUUGCACAAGGGGCGAAAGCCUGAUGCAGCAAGGCCGCGUGGAUGAAGAAGGCCUUCGGGUUGUAAAGUACUUUCAGCGGGGAGGCGUUACCCGAAGAAGAAGCAACGGCUAACUCCGUGCCAGCAGCCGCGGUAAUAC
rnacentral:rRNA from 1 species